CGGAUCGGAGUCUGCAACCCGACUCCGUGAAGCUGGAUUCGCUAGUAAUCGCGCAUCAGCCAUGGCGCGGUGAAUACGUUCCCGGGCCUUGUACACACCGCCCGUCAAGCCAUGGAAGCCGGGGGUGCCUGAAGUGUGCAGCCGCAAGGAGCGCCCUAAGGUAAAACCGGUGACUGGGGCUAAGUCGUAACAAGGUAGC
rnacentral:rRNA from 1 species